ACUCAAAGGAAUUGACGGGGGCCCGCACAAGCGGUGGAUGAUGUGGAUUAAUUCGAUGCAACGCGAAAAACCUUACCUGGUCUUGACAUGUCGAGAAUCCCUUAGAGAUAGGGGAGUGCCGCAAGGAACUCGAACACAGGUGCUGCAUGGCUGUCGUCAGCUCGUGUCGUGAGAUGUUGGGUUAAGUCCCGCAACGAGCGCAACCCUUGCCAUUAGUUGCUACCAUUUAGUUGAGCACUCUAAUGGGACUGCCGGUGACAAACCGGAGGAAGGUGGGGAUGACGUCAAGUCCUCAUGGCCCUUAUGACCAGGGCUUCACACGUCAUACAAUGGUCGGUACAGAGGGUCGCUAAGCCGCGAGGUGGUGCCAAUCUCAGAAAACCGAUCGUAGUCCGGAUUGCAGUCUGCAACUCGACUGCAUGAAGUCGGAAUCGCUAGUAAUCGCGGAUCAGCAUGUCGCGGUGAAUACGUUCCCGGGCCUUGUACACACCGCCCGU
rnacentral:rRNA from 1 species